UCAACCAGAGACGAGAUCCCAAUGGCCUCACCAUCUCAUCUCUCGCCGCCUUAACGCCUCACCAUCUCAUCUCAUCUCGUCGUCGUCACUCGUCAUCAUCAUUACUUCAGAGGGCAAACCAGAGACGAGAUCCCAAUCAUCUCAUCUCAUCUCAUCACGGUCACAAUCAGAUCAGCAAGCAUACCAUUUUGUAAACAGGUACAUUUGAAGAAUGUUCUUUGUUCUUAGCUAGCAGAAUAUGGUGAGAUCUUUUGCUUAUGGGUUUGUAUGCCUAGUAAUGAGACAAAAUUGAAAGAACUCGAUCUGUGACGAUUCAAGCUCUUUUUGGGUUUGUUAAAAUCGAUCUCUAGGUAUGUGGGUUUGUCGAAAUCGAUCGCUAGGGUUUGUGGGUUUCUUGAAAUCGAUCUCUAGGGUAUGUGGGUUUGUAGAAUUGAGAUUGUCUCUUGUUGUCUGAGAUUGUAUCUUGCUGUCUCAGAUUAUAGCUUGCUGUUUGGUAGACUGUAGGCUGUAUCUUGCUAUCUGAGACUGUAGCUUGCUGUCUGGUUUAAGUAUAUAUUUUUGGUGCUGUUGUGUCGUCCUGUAUCUAUGCGUUUAUGAGCUCAAAACCUUAAUGGCGUUAGGCGUUAGCUUGUUUGGUGUAUUGUUCAGUGAAGAUAAACUCAUUUGAAUGUUAUUAGGGCACUUGAUUUUUGAUUGAUUGUGUAGAUGUCAUCUAGCUUUUCCAUGUUGUGUCUUUAGCUAGCGAGUUUCCACUCUGAGAUCAGCUUAAUAAUAUACUCGUUACGUUGUGGGUUUCUUGCGUGUAUGAAUGUAUCAGUGUGUCACUCACUGGUCGAGUUUGACUGUUUUAGCUUCUAGCUAAUGAAUCAAGCAUCUUGUUGUUGGCUGUGAUAAACUGAUUCUGUUGUUGGCUUGUUGGCUUGUUGCAGAGCAACGAGUGUUUGAAGAGACUCAAGAGUCAAGAGACUUGGAGAACAACAAGUGUUGGCUGACUUGAGAGUUUGAGUAAAGUUCUAUUUAUUAAAGUAG
rnacentral:lncRNA from 1 species